UUCCGGUUGAUCCUGCCGGAGGCCACUGCUAUCGGGGUUUGACUAAGCCAUGCGAGUCGAGAGGUGCAAGACCUCGGCGUACUGCUCAGUAACACGUGGACAAUCUGCCCUGAAGAGGAGGAUAAUCCCGGGAAACUGGGGGUAAUACUCCAUAGUUCGUGCUGACUGGAAUGUUAUGCGAACGAAAGAUCCGUCGCUUCAGGAUGAGUCUGCGGCCGAUUAGGUAGUUGUUGGGGUAACGGCCCAACAAGCCAUUGAUCGGUACGGGUUGUGAGAGCAAGAGCCCGGAGAUGGAUUCUGAGACACGAAUCCAGGCCCUACGGGGCGCAGCAGGCGCGAAAACUUUACAAUGCGAGAAAUCGUGAUAAGGGAACCCCGAGUGCCCGUAAAUUCGGGCUGUCCGCCAGUGUAAAUAACUGGUGAAGAAAGGGCCGGGCAAGACCGGUGCCAGCCGCCGCGGUAAUACCGGCGGCUCGAGUGGUGGCCACUAUUACUGGGCUUAAAGCGUCCGUAGCUGGAUUGUUAAGUCUCUUGGGAAAUCCACCGGCUCAACCGAUGGG
rnacentral:rRNA from 1 species